AACGGAGGGUGCAAGCGUUGUUCGGAAUUACUGGGCGUAAAGCGCGUGCAGGUGGUCUUUUAAGUUCCGUGUGAAAUCCCUCGGCUUAACCGAGGAACUGCGCGGAAUACUGGAAGACUUGAAUACGGGAGAAGAGGGCGGAAUUCCCAGUGUAGAGGUGAAAUUCGUAGAUAUUGGGAGGAACACCGGUGGCGAAAGCGGCUCUCGAGACCGAUAUUGACUAUCAUACGCGAGAGCGUGGGUAGCAAACAGG
rnacentral:rRNA from 1 species